CUUCUUCCUCUCUUUGUGCUGGGUAAAACCAUGAGUCAAAGAGAGAGAGAAAGCUUUGCGCUGGUGGGUUUGAAGAAAAUUGAAGAAAGGAAAAUGCAAGAUCAUCAAGAAGCUAUCAAUUGAAGAUUAAAGGUGAGCAAACUAAGCAACAAGGAUAGAGAAAGUCUUGGAGUCUACCCAUGUCAGCUUUUUGAAGAGCUUCCAGAAUAGAGCAAGUUAGGCUCGAGUAGGGCCAAGAAAAUCAACCCCUUAACUUUGUCAAAGCUUUGGAUUUUGCUAUGUCUUAAUGUAUAUGUGUGUGAGAUAUAUAUAGGAUUUGUAUAUGUAUAUAAAUUAUUAUUGUGUUUAAAUGUUUUAAUUAUUUAGGUCAUGUAUGCACAAACUCAAAGGAUAUUAUUAUUUUGUUUCACUUC